GGGUUAGUAACUUAAUUGGCAAAGGAUUUUCUUGUCGAGAAAAUAGAUAUCGGAUCGUAGCCGAUUUAACCCG
rfam:Arthroderma gypseum CBS 118893 supercont1.19 mitochondrial scaffold, whole genome shotgun sequence.